CAGGUCAACAAAGACAGCAGAUGCCAAUCGCUGGGUGAAGGAUAAGGUGGGAUUUCCGGGUCCCAGGAGGAAGAGGAGGAGGAAACAGAAGAGGAGUCGUUUGACGCUGUGGAGCUGAUAGAAAGCAAUAGACAUGCUAUCUGGUGUUUUCCAUCCAUGGCGACUCGAGUGGGCAGGAGAAAGGGCACAGCCGUGGGGCGGUCAUUAGAAGUUUGGCGGAGCUAGCCAUGGGAGCUGAGUGAGACGCAUCAGGGAUGAAGAACGUUGAAGCUGUUGGGCCCAGUGAAUUGUAAACUGUGUUUGAAGCCUUGCUGUGCAGCAGGGUGACUUCGGCUCAUCCACAGAAACACCGACCCACCUGUGCCAGGAUGUGUCCUCAAUUAUGCAAGUGUCUGCAUUGAACAAGGCCUGCUGGGGCACUGCCUCACACGCCAUGCCCCAGGUCUGGGAGUCAGAGCUCUGCCCCUGGUAUUAGACAGCGCCAGCUUGUGGUGCCUGACUCCAUCACUGUGUGAUCUUGGGCAAAGUGUGAAGCUGCUCCGUGCCUCCGUUUCCAUGUAUGUACAGCCAGGACGACCAUGCCAGGGGGCCUAGUGAGAUGGUUUGUAUGCAAGAGCACUUGCUGCAUAGGCCUUAGGACCUGAACUCGGAUCCUCAGGACUCAUCAAUAAGCCAAACUUGGCAGUAUAAAUCUGUAAUCCCAGCCCUGGAGAGCCAGAGACAGGAAAAUCUUCGGGUUUGCUGGCUAGUCAGUCUCGCUGAGUUAGAGAGUUCCAGAUUUGGAGAGAAAUCCUGCCUCGAAAAAAUAAAGAAUGAUAAAGGAAGACACCUGACAUUGACCUCUGACAUCCAUGUGCACAUACAAACAUGUACUUAACACAUAAAUUAACCUGGAGCUUCACCCUAGGGAAGUCCCUCCCCAUCGAGAAUCCAUGGAGGCUUUCCUAGGGGCAGAGGUCCUGCCAUUCAUCUGCUCUACAGAGCAGAGCACCAGUGAGCCAGAGAGGCAGCAGACCAAACAGGUGGUUAGCAAGCACACACAUCACAGCAGUAGACACAGACCAGCAGCUCCAGACAAAGCAGGACAAGAGGCAGUCAGGAUCCCUUUCACAUGUGCAACAGUCUCUGGUCAGAGGUGGUGGGGGCUCCUCUCUCUCUCUCUUUCUCGUUUUUGCCACGUUUUCAGCUUUUGCAGGUCCAGUGAAGCCUGUGGAUUCCCUCUCAGAAUCCUGCCUUUUAAAAGACCGAAGCACAAUGUAUACAGUUGUAAGGGAAGCCAUUUCAUCAUCCUGUUAGGUCUUUAAAAGAAAAAUGCACAUUUUAGUCACAUGCAUGCUUUUUUUUUGGUGAUGUAUCAAGGGUAGGGUUUAGUUGCAGAAAACAGGAGUUAAAGUUAUUUCUAGGGAUAUUUAAACCUCUGGAAUAAGGCAUGGAAACACCUGUGAUUUCUAUUACUGAUAAGCCCGGCUUCUGACAAUUCUAUUGUAGCUGGUCACCCACAUCCACAACGAAAUCCUCAAUUGCACUGCAAGCUUAGUGAAGAUGGAGACACACUUCUUCCUGGCCAAGUUCACGGGCUCCCAGAGUUCCUCCCACGUUCCCCCUGGAUUUCUAGGAUGCCAGAGAGAAAUCCUUCCCAUACACAGAGCUCCAGUUUUGUUCUCAACCAGCAGUUAAGAACAUGGGGCUUGGUGGCCCAGGCCUAUAAUCCCAGCUUCUCAGGAGGCUGAGGGGGGAGGCUUCACAUUCAAGGACAGCCUGGGAUACGCGAAGAGUUCAAGGACGGCCUGUGUAACUCAGUGAAGCCCUAUCUCAAAGGGAAAAGGAAAAAAAAAAAAAGGCUGAGGAUGUUGCCAGUGCUUUGUGUUUGUCUAGCACAGCAGCUCACAACCUUCCUAAUGCUGAGACCCCCCCUAUACAGUUCCUCAUGUGGUGCUGAAUGCCCCCCAACCAUAAAAUUUAAUACAGUUCCUCAUGUUGCAAGGAACCUCCAACCAUAAAAUGUAUUUUUGUUGCUACUUCAUAACUGUAACUUUGCCACUGUUACAAAAUAUAAUGUGAAUAUUUUUGGAGGUAAAGGUUCGCCGAAGGGGUUGCGACCCACAGGUUGAGAACCACAGAUCUAGAGUGUAAAGGACUCCAGCUUUCAUCCCUGGUGUUCUAAUUAAUUAAUUAUAAUUGUAUUAGUAUUACACCUGCUGGUAUAAUAUUAGUAAGAUAAAGUGAUAGAAUGCUUGUUUAA
rnacentral:lncRNA from 1 species